GAAGCCUCAUGUGCCACAUUGCCACACUUUCCACACGUAGACUGAAUUUUUGGCACUGAGAACUGAUGUGGUUUGUUAAGGAAAGUAUUUGCUCAUAAAGAAGUGAGAAGAUUAUUCCAGCCGUCCAAAGGUCUGAACGCGUUAUUCCGUCUUAAACAAAGCAAGACGACAAAGCAGUGCUUCGUAACAACCGUCUACGAUGAAAUUGGACGCACUCCCAGCAAAGACAUCAGAUUCGUGUUCGCCAGCGCCUACACCCAUGUCAACGUUGGCUUGCGUGUCGAAGUUUGUCGUAUAGUCAACUUUCAGGGUUGACAUUUGAUUUGGUUUGAAAUGUAAUAUUUGCUUUGGGUUGUAAUAUUCUGCAUCAAAACGUGUAUCAAAUGAAGUGCAGCUUAUAACGAGUGUUUUAUUCAUGAAAAUUCUGAUAAAAUGGACCAAAUCCAAGCGCCAACCCUGCACGUCGCUGGUUUAUUAUUGUACAUGUGUAAAUAAGUUGUAGUACACCACUCUAUCCGCACACGAUGUUUUUACCAUAAUUUAAAAAGUUCUCUAACCUGAAAAGACGCUUAUAAAUUUAUCCUAAAACAAAAAUGUGCCUUGCUUAAGUGAUCUAUGUAAAAUUAUCAUUAAGUGAUGUGCAGGUAGAGCACUGUGCUAGUACGACCGAUUUAAUGUUUGAUUGUCAAAUUUUGUGUGCGGGCAAAUAUGUAAUAACACACGAAAGUGCAUGUUUAUUCAUAUCAAAUUGGAUACAAAUAUUGAUUUUAAUGGAAGUUACCUUUUAAAAAAAUAAGUCGCCAAUUUACUGUCUUAUCGCCUAAAAAUCCUUUUUCAUUUUUUUUUUGGUCUAAUCAAAUAUGAAAACGCAAAGUUCUAUCAGAUAAAUGGCACUUGAUUGGUUAGAGCAAAAGGUUUACACAAAUUGGAAGAGAAGUGUUUAUUUAAUGUUGAUCUUGUACUCAGGACUUUCUUAAUUCUAUAUUUCGGUCGGGAUCAAGGAGUGAUUGAGAACAAAAGGUCUGAUCAGGUGCCAGUCCUGCACGUGCUGUUGGGUUAUUUUUGCUGAGUGUUUAUUGAUCACUGAACACCAGAGAUCUUUGAGUUUAUUAGCAUUUUCUGAGUAAAUGUGCUCAGUUAUUUUAAGUUAACUUGUUUUUGCAUAACCUUUUUAAUUUUGUUUACAUAUUGUUUUUAAAAAUGACUAUGACUGGGAUAAGGUUGUAAACUGACCAUGUCUUCAUGCUGUUCUUGAUUCGCACGACGCAUAAAUUUAAGAGUUCACCCAAAAUUGUACCACCAAAAUCCUAUUUUAAGAUUUAAAGAGAAGAGAAAAUGACGCAAAAUAUGAGGUACAUAUUCAUUUAACUAUGAGAAAAGCACUCAUCAAAUGAACAAAAUUGAAUAAUGUUUGACUGCUGUUUGGUGUUGUGUGUGAUCAUCAGCAUGGCGACAUAGAGUAAGUUGUAGGGUCAGGAGUGUGUACCCGCGUGCGGGGAGAACGCUUACAUGAGAUCGUAUGCAUUUUGAAUUUUCUAUACUGUUACCACCCUUGAAUUUGGAUAAAAAAUGUCCCUAGAGAAAUUUUGGAUCGGUCACAAGACAAAUACACCAAAUUCAACUUUGAACGAUUGCUGUAAAAUACAUCGUCAAAUCUUCAACUUUCUCUUUUAACUCUGGGCAAAAACCUGAGAAUUUCAUGUUCUGGUCAGUAUUAUGUCGUCUUGUAUGCAGUGUUCUUGAGCACUUUUUUAGAACCAAAAUGAUUGAUCUUGAGCGACAAUUUUCAAAAUGCAUAGAACC